AAACCCUAGGUCCCUAACCCUUUUCUAUUCCCCGUGCGCUGUGCAGCCAUGCAGCCAUGUCGUGCAAGGGCUUGGAGGUGGAAGCACCGAGCACGCGAGUCCGAGAGGAGGGGAAGAUCGCAGCGGUUAGGAGGAGGGGAAGAAGAUCGCCGCGAGUCCGAGAGGAGGGGAAGACGAAGAUCGCCGCGGUUAGAGGAGGGGAAGAUCGCCGCGCAGUUCUUCCGACGAAGUAAGAGCUUCGUUACCUUUUUUCCUUCUUUGUGAAGUUGUUGCUCUUCUGGUCCUCGGUGUUCUCCGAUUCCGGCUUCUUUCUUCGGUGGAGUGAGAGCUUGGAACCCUAGGAUCGUCAGAUCGGACGGCGGAUCGGCCCAGAAAACAGAGUUGAGAACCGUUUCUUAGAUAGGAGAGGUGGAAGCUCCUGGAAUUAGCUGGAUCUCUCUCAUUGCCGAAAGCAAGUCCAUUUACUUGGAUCUUAAAUAAGCUUAUCAUCUACCUCAUGUUUGUGUUUGUCUGCACUGUAAUACUAAUUUGGUAAAAGGUGUGCUUUUUGCCUGGCGCUGUUUGGAAUUUUCUGAGAUUUGGUAGCAUGAGCACAAGACGGGGUUUUAAUUUCCAUUUGAUAUUAUUUAAGUGUCAUACGGUAUUUUCUUGAGCAUACUGCUACCCCGAGGAUAGCACUAAAUCCUUUAGCUGACCUAUCAACUAUGUGAGAACAUUAUCUGUUGUUUGAUUUGAAGUACUGCUUUGUUUAUUCCUUGAGAGCAGAGAUCAAUGAAAUUCCAUACCGCCUUGUAGUUGCUGGUCGAUUUUUCUUCUACAUGGGUGGUCUUUGGAACUUGUAUUUGUGGAGGUUGGUUUUGGUUGUUGUUAAAUUUGGCUCCUUUUUCCCCUGAGAAAGUUCUUAAGUUUGGCCUCUGGCUUAUUCUUUGUAUCUUGCAGAUAAUAUUAUAGUAGUAAUUCCCUCUGUGAAAUCUUUCCUUUUUCUCUGUCUUUUGGACCUCUUCCAUGCAUAGAUGUUGCUGAAGGAUUGCUCCUUAUUGCAUUAACAGAGACCAUCUCAAUUUUAUGGAUAAGUGUCGCCUUAGUUAUUGUUGUGUCUUGUUGUUUUUAUUUUUUAUCUUUGUUGUUUUCUUGAUUCAUUGUGGUUAUACUGUUGUAAUUUAGGUUUGUUAUGCUGUUUGUUUGUUAUGCCAUUUGUGUCCCUCGGUCAAAUCAGUUUAACUUGUUAUGUUUGGUCUCUUUGUUUCUAAGAUUCUGGUGUGGAUUACAUGCUAUGUGCUAGUGUCACUGGGGUAGGUUCUGUAUAUUACUGGUCCACUGCAUUUCUUUCUUCUAUCAUAUUAUGUGAGUUGCUUCUGCUCAUAAAGCAAACUAAACUGUGUUCCAUGGGUCUUUACUGCAUAUUGUUGUUUCAGCACUUUCGGUGCCUCUAAAUCUUAUGAUUUACAUUUGUUGCUUCACUAACCUCUCAUGUAUCUCAAAUGCCUUUCAUGAUUUACAUUUGUUGCUUCACUAACCUCUCAUGUAUCUCAGAUGCCUUUCAUGAUUUUCAAAAGCUUUGGAUUAUAUUGACAAAAUUGUCCUUGUCUUUUCUCCAGGAUGCUUACGGGUACCAUUUAUGGAUUACGGAUAUUUGUCUGUGCUUGUUAAAUUAGAUAGAGAUUGUACCAAUAAGCUGCAACCUUACUUCAGUGAAGCAUGUCCUUUGCAGGCAAAAUUUCUCAAGGUGAAAUUGUUGUUAACAUUGAAAGACUACUCAAGUGCUGUUUCAGAGACUGGAUACAUACUUAAACAAGAUGAAGAUAAUUUGGAGGCACUACUGUUUCGUGGCCAUUCUUAUUAUUAUCUCUCAGACCAUGAUGUUGCUACAUGGUUUGACUUAUGAAAAUUCCUAUACAGAAUUACAGAUAUAUGUAAAAGGUUUCAAACAUUGUGUCAUAUGUGCACUCUUCUGCACUUUGCUGCAAUGAUGUUCUCCUUUUAUUUAAGCUGCAGUUAUUAGCUCAACUCUGCAGAUUAU